rnacentral:lncRNA from 1 species
UGUAGAGUGGGUAUCCUGGCAGACAGAUCAAUAGGUGUCCCGAGAGCAGGAGACGUGUGAAGCUCACGCAGGGCACAGGCCUCAGGAGCAGGAGCCCAGAUUCCAUCCAGCUUGAGUUAUAGAGGAAAUGGAACUUGGACCUAGCAGGUGUCAAGGCCCAGGGGCUCCGGAGGCCACUAGAACAGGAGCUGAAGGCAGGACAUGGCCACCGAAUAAAGCCUGUUAGUAGACCUGAGAUCAAGGUCAGAGAAGGACUAGCCAGCCUGGCUCAGGGACAAAUCCCCCAAGCCAUUGAACUUAAAAUUUCCCCAUCUUAGGAAAGGGUCUACCUAGAGACUGCAGAAGAGAUGAGCCUACAUGAAGAUAUUCAAGGAGACCCAGGGAAGGUGUCUAAGAGGCUGUGAAAGCAUGAAGUCACACGGGCCAUGGCUGUCAGCAGAGGAGGUUUUAAAGAAAUAUUUCAACCGAGACACAACUUCAAAAGUGAGUUUCUGACGGCAAUACCAGACUGUUCUCAAAAAGGUAAGUGACUUUGAUGUAUACCAUUGUUAAUGCAGAAAAGCGACACCUGCCAACAAGCUGUAAUGAAACAAGUGCUAAAUAUGCAAAGGUACACAGAAGUGAAGAACUAAAUUGUUUGAAGUCCGAGCUUUAAAAAUUUAAACUAAGGGUUCUGAGUGGAGAGCCUGUGGUUGCUCCCUGAGACUCGUCUAGGUCUUAUUUUCUGCGUGAGAAAAGGGCACCGGUGGUUUUCUGAUGUCUCGGUCAGUGCA